rnacentral:rRNA from 1 species
GAGACAGCAGUCGCCGCGGGAAUACGGAGGGUGCAAGCGUUAUCCGGAUUUAUUGGGUUUAAAGGGUCCGUAGGCGGAUCUGUAAGUCAGUGGUGAAAUCUCACAGCUUAACUGUGAAACUGCCAUUGAUACUGCAGGUCUUGAGUAAAUUUGAAGUGGCUGGAAUAAGUAGUGUAGCGGUGAAAUGCAUAGAUAUUACUUAGAACACCAAUUGCGAAGGCAGGUCACUAAGAUUUAACUGACGCUGAUGGACGAAAGCGUGGGGAGCGAACAGGAUUAGAUACCCGUGUAGUCCCUGUCUCUUAUAA